UGUCAUGCUAUAAAAUUGUCUAAUUAAGUUGCUAUGUGAUAAAGUUAUUAAUACCUUUACAACGACUUUUGUGAAGGUCAAAACGUUGCUGUAUGCACGUUGUUCCAAUAGGUCUGCUUAAUGUAGAGCCCAGUAAGUGCCUGAAAGCCUUUUUUGAAAGUAUUAAUAUGAAUUUAGGCUUGAGUUUAGAAUUUCUUAAUUUAUUAGAAAGUUGCAGUGAAUUCAAGACCAACUUAGAAUGUCUGAAUCAAGGCCUAAAUUGCAUAGUUAAGAAAAUUUUUCAUGUUGGCUAUUUUAUUCUAAAAGCAUUAAACCUUUGGCCCUUCAUAUAGACACAAUGCAUAAUUCUGCUGACGUUAUCAGUGUGCUUCACAAGGUUCUGAG